AAUAGAAAAAUAUAUGGACUGUUGAGUAAACUUCACACACAAAAACACAAAUAUCACAAUUUAAAAGAGCUGAGCGGAUUAAGCGGGCCUAAACUAUAAUAAUUAAGUUAGUUCAUAACUUUCCUAAAUACAGUACCAUAGGGAAGAACUAGAGUGAUCUUUAUAUAUAAGGAUAUUCAUAACAGAGAACGCAACAAGGUAUAUUGUUAUAUCAG